UAGGGAAUCUUCGGCAAUGGACGAAAGUCUGACCGAGCAACGCCGCGUGAGUGAAGAAGGUUUUCGGAUCGUAAAACUCUGUUGUUAGAGAAGAACAAGGACGUUAGUAACUGAACGUCCCCUGACGGUAUCUAACCAGAAAGCCACGGCUAACUACGUGCCAGCAGCCGCGGUAAUACGUAGGUGGCAAGCGUUGUCCGGAUUUAUUGGGCGUAAAGCGAGCGCAGGCGGUUUCUUAAGUCUGAUGUGAAAGCCCCCGGCUCAACCGGGGAGGGUUAAUGGAAACAGGGGGAUUUGAUGGGAAAAGAGGGUGUUGAAUUCCAUGUGUAGCGGUGAAAUGCGUAGAUAUAUGGAGGAACACCAGUGGCGAAGGCGGCUCUCUGGUCUGUAACUGACGCUGAGGCUCGAAAGCGUGGGGAGCAAACAGG
rnacentral:rRNA from 1 species